GCCCUUCUUCAAACUUGCAAUUUGAUGUGGUGUCACCUCGGGACUUGAUAAGAAGAGGAGUUA
rnacentral:tRNA from 1 species